rnacentral:ncRNA from 1 species
UAUUUUGGAAAGAAUCGGACCUCGAGACCCGAAUCAGGAAAAAAAUGGACAGAAGAAGAAGGGUGAAAGGAUUAACGAAAGUUAGCCAUCUGUGAGUUAGAAAGGGUACUAGCCACACAGUGAUAAACCCUCACUGACCCCUUCAACUUCG